GAUGAACGCUGGCGGCGUGCCUAAUACAUGCAAGUCGAGCGAACAGACGAGGAGCUUGCUCCUCUGACGUUAGCGGCGACGGGUGAGUAACACGUGGAUAACCUACCUAUAAGUCUGGGAUAACUUCGGGAAACCGGAGCUAAUACCGGAUAAUAUAUUGAACCGCAUGGUUCAAUAGUGAAAGACGGUUUUGCUGUCACUUAUAGAUGGAUCCGCGCCGCAUUAGCUAGUUGGUAAGGUAACGGCUUACCAAGGCAACGAUGCGUAGCCGACCUGAGAGGGUGAUCGGCCACACUGGAACUGAGACACGGUCCAGACUCCUACGGGAGGCAGCAGUAGGGAAUCUUCCGCAAUGGGCGAAAGCCUGACGGAGCAACGCCGCGUGAGUGAUCAAGGUCUUCGGAUCGUAAAACUCUGUUAUUAGGGAAGAACAAAUGUGUAAGUAACUAUGCACGUCUUGACGGUACCUAAUCAGAAAGCCACGGCUAACUACGUG
rnacentral:rRNA from 1 species